GAUGUUAUUUUCAGUGUGACAUUUACCUGAAAAAGCUGCUUCUGGUGCGCCUGGCUCAUCUUCAGAGUUUCAUUUUCAAAGAGAGAAAGAACACCUCCAUCAUCAUGUCAGUUGUGGAGGUGGGGUUGGACGAGUGUUAGGAGCAAGAGGGUAAACUUCUUAAAAACACACAUCAUCAUGUCAGUUGUGGAGGUGGGGUUGGACGAGUGUUAGGAGCAAGAGGGUAAACUUCUUAAAAACACACAUCAUCAUGUCAGUUGUGGAGGUGGGGUUGGACGAGUGUUAGGAGCAAGAGGGUAAACUUCUUAAAAACACACAUCAUGUCAGUUGUGGAGGUGGGGUUGGACGAGUGUUAGGAGCAAGAGGGUAAACUUCUUAAAAACACACAUCAUCAUGUCAGUUGUGGAGGUGGGGUUGGACGAGUGUUAGGAGCAAAAGGGUAAACUUCUUAAAAACACACAUCAAGUCAACACACCAUCCAUCAAGGUAAACAAAUUAUGCCAUUCAAGUGAAGAGAUGUCAGCAGAGAGAACUGGCUGCCUCCUGUACGGCGAUAGACACUAGAGCUCCUGUCCAGAUCCAGCGACACACUAGACUGUAGAUCAGAGAAAACCACCAUGCGAUACACACGUGUGGAUGCGUCACCCUGGGAGAGGUACAGAUAAAACCAAGCCAUCCAUACUACAAAGUACUAAUACAGUCAAUCAUAACUUAGUAUUAAGCUUUUAAUCCUUUAGUUACUGUGUGAACUACAGGGGAGGUCCAAACUUCCACUCAAAUUAUUUACAAGUCCCUACUGUAAUACUGCUGGAAAUCCACUUGAAAUGUUUGAUUCUUUAUCACGAUUCAACCAAGCCUGGCUCUUCAGUUAAACCAAAACAUCCAUAAAUGCAUUUAAAAUCAGAUGCUGCUAAACCAGUUCUUAUUGACCCCUGAACAUGAAUUAUGAAUUGAAAAAAAAAACGGUUAACUGAAAAGGCUACUUCCUAUUCCUGAAAGAGAAUUUUCAUUCCCUUUCUGACAUGACUAAUUAAAAAUGGCCUCAUUGACCCCAAACCCCACUCUCCAUAAAAAUGACUCUUGAACAAUAUUUGAUUUGAUCAAUAGGGGGCACCACUCCAUCCACAAGGUUCAUAAAUGAUGAGCCAUACAUGCAUAUAAAGAGGUCACAGGGAGGGUUGGAUGAUGACACACUCCCAGGUUAAAUAUUAUUAUAGGAACCAGAAGAGCAGGCGCCAGGUAGAAUAUAAUGACCUAGUGGGAGUACUGUGGUAGAAGUACCACGAGAUGAACGUGUUGCAACGUCCAUGUCUCACACCCAGGCUUCAGAUCUAUGGCCAUAGGUUUCCUUGUGAAGGAUUUAACAAGUGUGGUUUCUGGUUUCACAAUAUGCUGUUUGCUCUGAUGUAAAAAGGAGGUUGUUCAUUUGGAAGCACAAUAAAAAUAAAGUUAAAGGUAAUUUUUAUAGACUGAACUGCUAGUGAACCAUGUAUACUGUCCGGUGGACCGGCCCAACAAAAAUAGAUUCUUGACAGUUGAAAAAGACCUAACACAGGUCAGUCCAUACUGUAUCACAUGGUACCCUAGUGGAUUGUGGUUCCCACCUACAUUCUUACAACGCCCUGUCAUUCCAAACCCCAGCCUGCUCACUACCACCUCUAAAGACUGGGGUCGGCAAGUCACAGCAAGCUGGGACUUCACACUGUGGAGAGAGGAUGGUGCGGGUCAGAGAAGCAAGGCAGACCAGAUGGGAAAGCUUAGCAGCAGCAGGAUAGGAAGACAAAGGACUGGAGGGGGUCAGCCUGUAGAGUCACAGUAUUUACCAGGACAGUGAAUUAUGCCAGAUGAGGAGGCAAGUCAAGAUAGAAGCUUCUGCAAGGAAAUAAAUUGUCCCCAGUAAAGUGUGUACAGACAUUUCAAUGGCAUACUGUGUACACAGUGAGCUCCAGAAGUAUCAGGAUAGUGGGAUUGUUUUGACUCUGUACUCCAGCACUUUGGAUAUGAAAUGAUACAAUGACUAAGGUUAAAAAGCAGAUGUCAGCUUUAUUUUGAGGGUGUUAUUGGGUGAACCGUUUAGAAAUCACAGUACUUUUUGUACAUAGCAGCGCUAUGUACCCCCCCCCCCAUUUAAGGGGAGUAAAAGUAUUAGGACAAAUGCACUUAUGUGUAUGAAAUUAGUAAAAGGUUAAGUAUUAAGCCCUAUAUUCAUGGGGCGGCAGGGUAUCCUAGUGGUCAGAGCGUUGGACUAGUAACCGGAAGGUUGCAAGUUCAAAUCCCCGAGCUGACAAGGUAGAAAUCUGUCGUUCUGCCCCUGAACAGGCAGUUAACCCACUGUUCCUAGGCAGUCAUUGAAAAUGAGGAUUUGUUCUUAACUGACUUGCCUAGUUAAAUAAAGGUAAAAAAUAGCACGCAAUGACGACAUCAAGCUUGUGACUUUAGAAAUGUUUUGGAAGCAUUUGCUGUUUAUUUUUGGUUGUUUCAGAUUAUUUUGCACCAAAUAUUAAUGAAUGGUAAAGUGUGUAUUGCGCGCACUGUAUUGAACAUGAUGAACCUGUCUAGGAGUGUUCAUCUAAAAUCAACAGUCAUCAUUACUCAUCUUCAUCAAAGACCUCCAUUUACCCUGCUGACUUUCUAGUUGUUCCAAGAAACAAGAACUAGCCCUUCUUUCCCACACUAGUCAUCUCUGGUUUCAAAUGUCCCAGAAUAGAUGUGGGUGAGGUGACACGACAAAGUUCUGCUCUAGUGCCACUACCUGAGGGCAUAUCUCGCCAAUCUGCCAUCCAUUGGAUUGCCUACUUGACCAUCAUUCUGUACAACUGAAUCAAUGUCUUUCCUAGUUUACCACUGCAAAUCUGUGGCAAUUAACCCUACACAUUUUCACUGGACAAUGUUUGUUCUUAAAGAUCACAUGAAAUGGAAAAAGUAACAACUUGUCUUAAUACAGUAUAGUGAAUACUUGGAGAAGGAAAAACUCCCUGAACUGUUCACAUCUAAAAUGUACCUAAAUCAAGCCAAUCAUGAUUGAGUUUAAUCAGUUAUAGUUUAAACAUUGUAGUUUCAAGUAACUUUAAAUAAUAUUCUAAUUAUACCAUUAAAGAUUAAAUGUUCUGUAGGAAAUAUAGUCCUAUAUUGUUACAAUAAAUAUUUUAGAUCAUUGGGGCAGAAGUAGUGGUAUCAGACUCUUGACACGGUAACAAUAGGAGAUCGGCUGGUUUAUUCUUCUGGCUUUUUGGUUGCAAGAAAAUUUGUUUUAACACACAGGUGCAAGUGAUCUCCUGUUAGUAGAUAUGCAAUGGACCCAGCAUAUUUAACAAGGCUAAAUAGAACCUAGAUUAGCACUCCUACUCUGAGACACUAUGAAUAUGUUCAGUGACAAUCUCCUCAGUGAUCUGAUACUGGAUCCUCUCCAUUUCACAGUGUACUUUGAGAACACAACAGCCAUUGAAGAUGACAGGUAUUAUCUAGCCAUUGUCUAAAAUGUCUCAGGUAAUUAGAACAUCCAAUGUCACAUAAUGGUUCACGUAAUCAAACCGCUCUUCAACACAAAAAAACACUGUCCCAGCAGCCUAAGCAUUGUGCAAGAAAAUGGGUCAGCCAGCUUUCUUCUGAACUUCCUUCUGGCUUUGAAAAGCAGUGGGUACCACCUUCCCAAUGCGUACAAUUUCAUCUUUAGUCAAUGAAACCUAGCCCACAGCUAACAGGCAUGCUACACUGCUCAUGUCAGUAAAAGCCAUGUGUCCGGUUAAGCUCCUCCAACACAGGAGAGAAUAUUAAACCAGGCCAAAGAAACACUGGCAUCCUAUACAGCAAAAAGGCCAUCUAGGAUAUCUAGUGAAGAGAGAUGUAAACAGGUGGGCAGUCAGGGAGUUUGAUUAAGCUGAACCACUGUGCACCGGUCUAUGGCCCGUGACGUGAACGGCAAAAGGGGUGAGGGAGGAGCGCCGUUCUCAACUCAAAGAGUAAUCUGCAUUGUUUAGGCAUGUUGUCAAGGCAGGAGCAUGGUGCAUCAUUCAGAAAUAUAUUUCCUAUAAAACACACACUACUGUUCAAAAGUUUGGGGUCACUUAAAUGUUCUCGAUUUUGAAAGAAAAGCAUAUUUUUGUUCAUUAAAAUAACAUCAAAUUGAUCAGAAAUACAAUGUAGGCAUUGCUAAUGUUGUAAAUUACUUUUGUAGCUGGAAGCCGCUGAUUUUUUUAUGGAAUACCUACAUAGGUGUACAGAGGCCCAUUAUCAGCAACCAUCACGCCUGUGUUCCAAUUAUAAUUUUAAAAGGCUAAUUGAUCACUAGAAAACCCUUUGGCAAUUAUGUUAGCACAGCUGAAAACUGUUGUUCUCAUUAAAGAAGCAAUAAAACUGGCCUUCUUUAGACUAGUUGAGUAUCUGGAGCAUCAGCAUGUGGGUUUGAUUACAGGCUCAAAUGGCCAAAAACAAAGACCUGUCUUCUGAAACUCAUCAGUCUAUUCUUGUUCUGAGAAAUUAAGGCUAUUCCAUGCGAGAAAUUGCCUAGAUACUGAAGAUCGCGUACAACGCUUCCUUCACAGAACCACGCAAACUGGCUCUAACCAGAAUAGAGGGAGCGGGAGGCUCCGGUGCACAACUGAGCAAAAGGACAAGUACAUUAGUGUCUAAUUGUGCAGUUCUGUGAAGGAAGUAGUACACAGCGUUGUACGAGGGUUAGGGUUAGACUGUCGGUUACACAUGAUAACCAAUAAACCUACAAACGCCAGCUAAUACAAUGUGCCAAUGGAACACAAAAGGUAUGGUUGCUGAUAAUGGGCACGCCUAUGUAGAUAUUCCAUUAAAUCUGCCGUUUCCAGCUACAAUAGUCAUUUACAACAUUAACAAUGCCUACAUUAUAUUUCUGAUCAAUUUGAUGUUAUUUUAAUGGACCAAAAACAUUUGCUUUUCUUGUAAAAACAAGGACAUUUCUAAGUAACCCCAAACUUUUGAAUGGUAGUGUUGUUCUAAUUUUUUUUUUAACUACACUGAACAAAAAUAUAAAGGCAACAAUUUCAAAGACCUCACGGAGUUACAGUUCAUAAGAACAUCAGUCAAUUGAAAAUAAAUUAGGCCCUAGUCUAUGGAUUUCACAUGACUGGGAAUACAGAUAUGCAUCUGCUGGUCACAGACGCAUAUGGGCCUCAAUACCUCUUCACGGUAUCUUUACAUACCAUAACCCCACCAUGGGACACUCUUCACAAUGUUGACAUCAGUAAACCACUCGCCAACAUGACGCCAUUCACAUGAUCUGCGGUUGUGAAGCUGGUUAGAUGUACUGACAAAUUCUUGAAAACGGAGGUGGCCUAUGGUAGAGAAAUUAACAUUCAAUUCUCUGGCAACAGCUCUGGUAGAUAUUCCUGCAGUCAGCAUACCAAUUGCACCCCCCCCGCCCCCCC